rnacentral:rRNA from 1 species
UAAUACGUAGGCUGCAAGCGUUAUCCGGAAUUAUUGGGCGUAAAGCGUACGCAGGCGGUUUGUUAAGUUGGAUGUUAAAGCCCUGAGCUCAACUCAGGACAGGUGUCCAAUACUGGCAAGCUGGAGAUAGGCAGAGGUAAGUGGAAUUCUGUAUGUAGGGGUAAUAUCCGUAGAUAUACAGAGGAACACCAAAAGCGAAGGCAGCUUACUGGGCCUUUUCUGACGCUCAUGUACGAAAGCGUGGGGAGCAAACGGG